rnacentral:lncRNA from 1 species
GUUUGGAUUUCUUUUGCGGGGAUCCUUCACUUUUUCACGCUCCCGGGCCUCGGGGAAAGUGCUGCGCCAGCAGGCCGGUUAGAAUAGCAAGAUCGGGGACUCGAGUGACUCUGGAGCGCGUGUAGCAGUUAUUGUGAGUAUAGUACUGGGUCUUCCGCCUGGAGGAUUACCUGGAAAAUAACGUGAAGCAUGUGUCGCGAUAUGUUCCGUCAUUGAGUCUUAGGCCUAAUGUCCUGUGACUCUAGACGACAUUUUACGAACUCGUCUUCUUCACGGCAGGCGUUUCGCCGGCGUACAUUUCCUUGUUUCAUGAUCGGGUCACGGUACCACUAUAGGUCUGCAUUAUAUGCUGAUGAUAGUUAUCCUGAGUUCAAGGGAAGUUGCCGGCUUUAUGUCUGAUAUUUAAAAGGAAUGCGUCUCAGUUUCUGUGCCCCAAGGCUAAAUCGAUAAGUGAUACAGUCGUGUGCCACUUGGGACGACAUUUGUUCACAUGACCCUUUUAAGUGUGGCGAGGACGGCGGCGUUCCGUGGAUCGUAUUUUUCACAGGUGUGCGGGUGAUUCUAAGAUAGAUAUCUUGUGUCCCGAACGGGCUUGAUAUCUGCAGAGUUACGGAUUUCAAGUCCAACGAUUGUAAGUUGUUUGCUUCUCCUGCAAAGGCCUACGCACGCCAUGAGCAACCUCCGAACCGGUUUAUCCGUCCAAACUGCGUUCAGCUCGUAUUAGUGGUCUUUGCACGUGUACAGCACGCCGCCGAUAUGCAAACAACUACAGAGCCUGACAUCUGAAUUCAUGAGCUCUAUACGAACCUUGAGAAUUUAGACUGCACAUUCGAAACACUUCC